AAAAUAUCUGUAAUGUAUUCUUAAAAUUAAAUAACUUACUAAGUUGUUUUUGUAGGUACCUGAGACGGUUUGCUAAGUAUUCCUUUUCUAAAAUCUGCCUCUUCCACUAUCAACAUGAUUUAUAUGGAAGUGCUUCUUUCAAUAUAGUGUAACGCUGACCCCUGGUCCAACUUGAUUUAGGGUUUAUGCCCAAUUCCUCUUGCAUCCUUUUCCAGGAUAUCUUAAUUCAGCCCUAAAAAAAAAAGCUUGAGGUAAUUCUCUUCUUAGUGCCUUCAAAAUAAUGAAGUGUCAAAUAUGGAAACCAUUGGCAACCACAUUUGCUACCAUGUGGAUAAAUUUGUCUUCCAAUGAAAGAGGAUAAAGUUCAACAGUGAAGAGGAAUGGUAACAGCCACAGCACAUGUAAACACACACUUUGGAACCAGCAGAAAACUCAUAACCACCCAUCCAGAUCCAGUUUAAAUAUGAUUUGUUCUGUAACGUGUUCACAAAUGCUGCAGAGCAGAAUUAAUUAAUUACCCUCCUCUUUGUGGUCCCAUACAUACAUGAAUACUGGUCACCAAUUUUCAUGGAGUUUAAUACCAGUAUGCAAUAUUUACAUGCCAAAGUGAACUAAAAGUGGAAUAUUAACAUCUCAAGAUCUCCAAGAUUUUAAGAAGGAAAUCCAAAACUAUGUUGGCAGUGACAAUGAAAAGUGUCUUCUAUCUAGAAAUAAAACAGAAUAUGAAGAAAAAAACAACGGUGCUGUCAGAGAAAAACUAAGAAGAGCCAUGCCCAGACCUGAUAAAAAGAUUAUGGAGCACCAUUCAGAGAUCCUGGACUCGAAAAUUGAUUCAGUCACUGGAUGGAACUUUGGGCCAUGAAUUGAGUGCCUGCCAU
rnacentral:lncRNA from 13 species